rnacentral:tRNA from 3 species
GCCUUCGUGGUGUAGUGGUCUGCACGCCAGGUUGUGGUCCUGGAGGUGUCGGUUCGAUCCCGAUCGGGGGCC